rnacentral:tRNA from 1 species
GCCGCCGAAGCAUAGAAAGCGAUGCGCGCCCCUGGUAUGGGCGGGAGCCGGGUGCAAGUCCUGGCGGUGGCUCCA